rnacentral:rRNA from 1 species
UACGAAGGGGGCGAGCGUUGUUCGGAAUUACUGGGCGUAAAGGGCGCGCAGGCGGCCUUUCAAGUCAGAUGUGAAAGCCCCGGGCUCAACCUGGGAAUGGCAUUUGGGACUGGAAGGCUCGAGAUCGGGAGAGGAGGGUGGAAUUCCCAGUGUAGAGGUGAAAUUCGUAGAUAUUGGGAAGAACACCGGUGGCGAAGGCGGCUCUCUGGACCGUAACUGACGCUGAGGCGCGAAAACGUGGGGAGCAAACAGG